UGUUCAAAAGUGAGUAGUUUAGGAGGGUCCUAUGUUCAAAAGUUUGCUGGUGUGUAUCUUUGUUGGCUCAACAUGUUUUUAAUUUAUGAUUGUUGUUGGUGGAGAGAGCGGAAGAUGCCGGGGACAGUUUGGAGAAGAUCAAGCGGCAGCUGGCCUCUGGGUCUGGUCGGAAUUUGUUGCAGGGUCCCCUUCUAAAGCGAUCUGAAACAGACAAGACUUUUAGGUAAAGCAAAUCCUGGUUUUCCAAUGUCAAAAGGCCUUGGCCGCUUGCAGAAUAGUGACCUUGAAGAAUUAAGAGAAUUGGGGUCCGGCACCUUUGGCACUUUUUACCAUGGAAAAUGGAGGGGACUGAUGUUGCUAUAAAACGAAUCAAUGAUAGGUGUUUUGCUGGGAAGCCUUCUAAACAAGAUCGCAAGGUUGUUCAUUUUAAGCAACUGGCUUUUCUUUUCUUUUGUUAUUCGUGUAUUUUUCUUUUUGUUCCUUGACUCAAGUCCUUUUUGUUGUUUUAUAUUGUACCAGUGAGAAGAUUUUUAGAAUGAAGCAAUUAAGUUUGCUGAUUUGCACCACCCAAACGUGGUACUUUUUAUGGUGUCGUGCUUGAUGGGCUUGGGAGAUCUGUGGCCACAGUAACAGAAUAUAUGGCCAAUGGUUCGCUCAAAAAUGCUUUGUUGAAGAAUGAAAAGUAACAAUUGUUCUCAUUUUUCAUACGUUUAAUUUAAUUUGUUAGAAGUUAGUUGCAGUAUAAUGUAUCUUCACCCUUAGAUUAAGCAUAAAUACAAUUGAUGCAGGAGUCUUGAAAAGUGGAAGCGCCUCUUGAUUGCUAUGGAUGCAGCUUUUAGAAUGGAACACCUGCACAGAAAGAAUAUUGUGCACUUUGAUUUUGAAAGUGAUAAUCUACUGGUCAAUCUUCGAGAUCCUCAUCACUCAAUAUGCAAGGUUUGUGUAUUACUGAUAAUAGCAGAAUCAUCAUUGUAGUGCAUUCCAUUUAGUUAAACUCUUGAUUUGAUUUUUAAACAAAACAGGAUGAUAACCAAUUUUUAUAGUUAUUGUUGUAAUUAACACAAUUAAUUGUCAAAUAAAAAAUGUAUUUGACUAUUAACAUUUUUUUGUUUGACUAAUUAUAGUAUGUUUUAAGAAGAAAAUAAGCUUGGUUUGUCUUAGAUAUACGGGAUAAAGUAAUGUUUUUAACUAACAAAUGCCUUA